AUUAGAAUCAUUAAUCAAAACAUUGGUAGUAUUAUUUUCAAACAAUAACUUAGUUGAAUUGUUAAUUAGCCACUCAUUGUAGAAAUAUUUAAGAAAUGCAACUGUCAAAGUCCUGUGUGAGGACAUUAAACGUAUCACAAGAAUAAUAAAUAAAAUGUUUUUACCUUACAGGUACAGUUUUUUAGGUAUAUUAUACCAUUGUUUCCGGUGAGAGAAAUCAAAUUUCUCUCACAAGUGAGAUAAAGCUGUCAGUUCUACUCACAAGUGAGCAAAUCUGAGGAAAAGUGGGGAAAACAAUGAGACUGUUUACUUCAUAACUAUAGCAACACAGGUCUUGGAUUUUUUACAAUGCACCUGUACAUUAUACUAUUGUUUUUGGUGACAGAAAUCAAAUUUUACUCACGAGUGAGUAAAUCUGGGAAAAAUUGGGGGAAACGAUGAGACUGUUUAUUUCAUAACUAUGGCAACCACAGGUCACUAUGAAAACUGAUACAUAGAAUAAUGCUAAUGUUACAGGCGAAUAUGUACUUGAAUAUCUUGAAUUUUUUUACAAUGGAGCUGUAAGAUAAAAUAUCGUAUAUCACACGUGAUCGUAAUGCCAUUAUAAAGCUCGUGAGAAGUGUCCCACUCACAUAUAAUGACGCAUUUCUGUCACUAAUAAUGUUAUAAUAUAAUAUGAUAUAUACUAUUUAUCUUACAGGUGUAAUUUUUUAGGUACAUUAUAUUAUUGUUUUCGGUGAUAGAAAUCAAAUUUCACUCACGAGUGAAUAAAUCUGGGAAAAAUUGGGGGAAACAAUGAGACUGUUUAUUUCAUAACUAUAGCAACCACAGGUCACUACGAAAACUGAUACAUAGAACCAUUCUAAUGUUACAGGGGAAUAUGUACUUGAAUAUCUUGAAUUUUUUUACAAUGGAGCUGUAAGAUAAAAUAUCGUAUAUCACACGUGAUCGUAAUGCCAUUAUAAAGCUCGUGAGAAGUGUGCCACGAGUGCGCAAGCGCAGUCGCACAUAAUAAUGCAUUUCUAUCACUUAUAAGUUAUAAUAUAAAUAUACUAUCUAAUUACUGUUUGA